UUGCAUAUUUAUCAUGAAGUUCAUGAGAGUCGAAGCUCUUACACAUGAUGUCCCUAAUAGGAGUGACUCCACCACGUGAAAUCAAAUGAUGACUUUGAUCUAUAUCCUUUUGAUACUGAGCAUACUAAACCCUUAGUUUGAAAAUAAAAUAUACAAGAAAAGAUGCAAAUAUCCAGCAACUUUGGCACACAACCACCCUCCCGGGACCUGGCAUGUAAGCUGAAAGAAAGUCGAUGUCUGAAGUGCGAUUCUUCAAGUAAGAAUUUAUGUAAGUGGGAACGAAUAACUUGAAAUGGGCACCUCCGCAGGAGUACUAAGCAAAUUACUUGUGUGGAAAGGAGGCUCUACAAAUAGGACUAAGAUUCAACCACAUAAGUUCUGAGCAACGAACAGUCUAGAACUCUUGUCAUGUUGCUGCUAAAAGCAUAUUUUUUCCCCCUCAGGGAAAAAAGGCGCCACGAAAUAAAACUCGUUAUGCUGCCUAUGAAGUUAUAAGGAUUCAUUUUCCCGGUCUGAAGUUUGAAAAAAGAAGAGAAAAAGCAAACGUACCUGUGAUCUGUAGUGAAGAAAGCAAGCCAGGCGGAGGAUGGAAAGAAGGCACCUGAAACACCAUUGUGAUAAUAUUGAGAGCGCGAUUAAAAUAUUUAAAUGCGUGGCAACAGGCAGCCACGCGCCAGUCAUAUGUAAUGACACGGAGCAAUAAGCAGACUGUAAUUUAGAUUUUUCUUCGUCGGAUGGGAAAAUGUCUUGCUUUAGAUAUGUUAGGCGCACUCUAGAUUGUCAGCAUGGCACAUAUGUCUUUUAAGUGUAAUUUCUGUUUAAAUUUAAUUGAUUGGAAUAUUUUGGUGUAAAUUUAUAAUUUGGAUAAAAUGUUAAAUUAGAUUUUAUUUC